GUCGCAGUGGCUCAACUGGGUAUAGGUUGAGCUAUGGCUCUCAGGGUCGUGGGUUCGAUCCCCGUUGGCGGUA